UUUCGCAAUGCCCGAAAGGGUGACGAGGCGACGCCGCGUGUGGGAAGAAGGCCUUCGGGUUGUAAACCACUGUCAGGAGUUAAGAAAUGCAAGGAUAUUAAUAGUGUCUUUGUUUGACUAAGGCUCCGGAGGAAGCCACGGCUAACUCUGUGCCAGCAGCCGCGGUAAUACAGAGGCGGCAAGCGUUGUUCGGAAUUAUUGGGCGUAAAGAGCACGUAGGCGGCUAUGUAAGUCGGUUGUGAAAGCCUUCCGCUCAACGGAAGAACAGCAUCCGAUACUACAUGGCUUGAGUGCGGGAGGGGAGAGUGGAACUUCUGGUGGAGCGGUGUAAUGCGUAGAUAUCAGAAGGAACGCCGGCGGCGAAAGCGGCUCUCUGGCCCAUAACUGACGCUGAGUGUGCGAAAGCUAGGGGAGCAAACGGGAUUAGAUACCCCGGUAGUCCUAGCCGUAAACGAUGGGCACUAAGUAGAGGGGUUUU
rnacentral:rRNA from 1 species